rnacentral:rRNA from 1 species
UACGUAGGGUGCAAGCGUUGUCCGGAAUUAUUGGGCGUAAAGAGCUCGUAGGCGGUUUGUUGCGUCGGCUGUGAAAUCCCGAGGCUCAACCUCGGGUCUGCAGUCGAUACGAGCAAACUAGAGUGUUGCAGGGGAGACUGGAAUUCCUGGUGUAGCGGUGGAAUGCGCAGAUAUCAGGAGGAACACCGAUGGCGAAGGCAGAUCUCUGGGCCGUAACUGACGCUGAGGAGCGAAAGCGUGGGGAGCGAACGGG